CUCGUCAAAUUCGGUGCCCACCUCUGCCGUGGUGGGGACCGGCCCAAGGGCUGCCACAGCGACGUCUGUGCUCCAUGGGCUCCGCGUCCCUGCCGUGGGACAUCGGGGACCAAAAUAGGUUACGGACACUC
rnacentral:snoRNA from 1 species